rnacentral:tRNA from 1 species
GCUUCAGUGGCUCAGUCGGUAGAGCAAUUCACUCGUAAUGAAUAGGUCGCCAGUUCGAGUCUGGCCUGGAGCU